rnacentral:rRNA from 1 species
AACGAACGCUGGCGGCAGGCCUAACACAUGCAAGUCGAGCGCCCCGCAAGGGGAGCGGCGGACGGGUGAGUAACACGUGGGAAUUUUCCUCAAGGUACGGAACAACUCAGGGAAACUUGGGCUAAUACCGUAUGAUGCAGAGAUGCCAAAGAUUUAUCGCCUUGGGAUAAGCCCGCGUCAGAUUAGGUAGUUGGUGGGGUAAUGGCCUACCGAGCCUGUGAUCUGUAGCUGGUCUGAGAGGACGAUCAGCCACAUUGGGACUGAGACACGGCCCAAACUCCUACGGGAGGCAGCAGUGGGGAAUCUUGCGCAAUGGACGAAAGUCUGACGCAGCCAUGCCGCGUGAAUGAUGAAGGUCUUAGGAUUGUAAAGUUCUUUAACCUGUGACGAUGAUGACGGUAACAGGAGAAUAAGCCCCGGCUAACUUCGUGCCAGCCGCCGCGGUAACAC